rnacentral:rRNA from 1 species
UACAGAGGGGGCAAGCGUUGUUCGGAAUUACUGGGCGUAAAGGGCGCGUAGGCGGCUCUGUUAGUCAGGCGUGAAAGCCCUGGGCUCAACCUGGGGACUGCGCUUGAUACGGCGGGGCUUGAGGGCAGGAGAGGCUCGCGGAAUUCCCAGUGUAGAGGUGAAAUUCGUAGAUAUUGGGAAGAACACCGGUGGCGAAGGCGGCGAGCUGGCCUGUUACUGACGCUGAGGCGCGACAGCGUGGGGAGCAAACAGG